rnacentral:misc_RNA from 1 species
GUGAAUCUGUAGCCUCCGAGGCUCACAUUCUCUAUCCUUUACACACCUGUGCACCCUUCUGAAGCGGAGAGUUAUUAGGCAUUCGCCGAGCGCCUCCCUUCGGUUAUAUUACAUCAACUUCAAACCACGUUUACUAGAAUGUAUACCGUCUUGUUGUAACGACAAGUACAAUCCAAUA